rnacentral:rRNA from 1 species
GAUGAACGCUGGCGGCGUGCCUAAUACAUGCAAGUCGAGCGAACGGACGAGAAGCUUGCUUCUCUGAUGUUAGCGGCGGACGGGUGAGUAACACGUGGAUAACCUACCUAUAAGACUGGGAUAACUUCGGGAAACCGGAGCUAAUACCGGAUAAUAUUUUGAACCGCAUGGUUCAAAAGUGAAAGACGGUCUUGCUGUCACUUAUAGAUGGAUCCGCGCUGCAUUAGCUAGUUGGUAAGGUAACGGCUUACCAAGGCAACGAUGCAUAGCCGACCUGAGAGGGUGAUCGGCCACACUGGAACUGAGACACGGUCCAGACUCCUACGGGAGGCAGCAGUAGGGAAUCUUCCGCAAUGGGCGAAAGCCUGACGGAGCAACGCCGCGUGAGUGAUGAAGGUCUUCGGAUCGUAAAACUCUGUUAUUAGGGAAGAACAUAUGUGUAAGUAACUGUGCACAUCUUGACGGUACCUAAUCAGAAAGCCACGGCUAACUACGUGCCAGCAGCCGCGGUAAUACGUAGGUGGCAAGCGUUAUCCGGAAUUAUUGGGCGUAAAGCGCGCGUAGGCGGUUUUUUAAGUCUGAUGUGAAAGCCCACGGCUCAACCGUGGAGGGUCAUUGGAAACUGGAAAACUUGAGUGCAGAAGAGGAAAGUGGAAUUCCAUGUGUAGCGGUGAAAUGCGCAGAGAUAUGGAGGAACACCAGUGGCGAAGGCGACUUUCUGGUCUGUAACUGACGCUGAUGUGCGAAAGCGUGGGGAUCAAACAGGAUUAGAUACCCUGGUAGUCCACGCCGUAAACGAUGAGUGCUAAGUGUUAGGGGGUUUCCGCCCCUUAGUGCUGCAGCUAACGCAUUAAGCACUCCGCCUGGGGAGUACGACCGCAAGGUUGAAACUCAAAGGAAUUGACGGGGACCCGCACAAGCGGUGGAGCAUGUGGUUUAAUUCGAAGCAACGCGAAGAACCUUACCAAAUCUUGACAUCCUUUGACAACUCUAGAGAUAGAGCCUUCCCCUUCGGGGGACAAAGUGACAGGUGGUGCAUGGUUGUCGUCAGCUCGUGUCGUGAGAUGUUGGGUUAAGUCCCGCAACGAGCGCAACCCUUAAGCUUAGUUGCCAUCAUUAGGUUGGGCACUCUAAGUUGACUGCCGGUGACAAACCGGAGGAAGGUGGGGAUGACGUCAAAUCAUCAUGCCCCUUAUGAUUUGGGCUACACACGUGCUACAAUGGACAAUACAAAGGGCAGCGAAACCGCGAGGUCAAGCAAAUCCCAUAAAGUUGUUCUCAGUUCGGAUUGUAGUCUGCAACUCGACUACAUGAAGCUGGAAUCGCUAGUAAUCGUAGAUCAGCAUGCUACGGUGAAUACGUUCCCGGGUCU